rnacentral:rRNA from 1 species
AGAGUUUGAUCCUGGCUCAGGACGAACGCUGGCGGCGUGCCUAAUACAUGCAAGUCGAACGCUUCUUUUUCCACCGGAGCUUGCUCCACCGGAAAAAGAGGAGUGGCGAACGGGUGAGUAACACGUGGGUAACCUGCCCAUCAGAAGGGGAUAACACUUGGAAACAGGUGCUAAUACCGUAUAACAAUCGAAACCGCAUGGUUUUGAUUUGAAAGGCGCUUUCGGGUGUCGCUGAUGGAUGGACCCGCGGUGCAUUAGCUAGUUGGUGAGGUAACGGCUCACCAAGGCCACGAUGCAUAGCCGACCUGAGAGGGUGAUCGGCCACAUUGGGACUGAGACACGGCCCAAACUCCUACGGGAGGCAGCAGUAGGGAAUCUUCGGCAAUGGACGAAAGUCUGACCGAGCAACGCCGCGUGAGUGAAGAAGGUUUUCGGAUCGUAAAACUCUGUUGUUAGAGAAGAACAAGGAUGAGAGUAACUGUUCAUCCCUUGACGGUAUCUAACCAGAAAGCCACGGCUAACUACGUGCCAGCAGCCGCGGUAAUACGUAGGUGGCAAGCGUUGUCCGGAUUUAUUGGGCGUAAAGCGAGCGCAGGCGGUUUCUUAAGUCUGAUGUGAAAGCCCCCGGCUCAACCGGGGAGGGUCAUUGGAAACUGGGAGACUUGAGUGCAGAAGAGGAGAGUGGAAUUCCAUGUGUAGCGGUGAAAUGCGUAGAUAUAUGGAGGAACACCAGUGGCGAAGGCGGCUCUCUGGUCUGUAACUGACGCUGAGGCUCGAAAGCGUGGGGAGCAAACAGGAUUAGAUACCCUGGUAGUCCACGCCGUAAACGAUGAGUGCUAAGUGUUGGAGGGUUUCCGCCCUUCAGUGCUGCAGCUAACGCAUUAAGCACUCCGCCUGGGGAGUACGACCGCAAGGUUGAAACUCAAAGGAAUUGACGGGGGCCCGCACAAGCGGUGGAGCAUGUGGUUUAAUUCGAAGCAACGCGAAGAACCUUACCAGGUCUUGACAUCCUUUGACCACUCUAGAGAUAGAGCUUCCCCUUCGGGGGCAAAGUGACAGGUGGUGCAUGGUUGUCGUCAGCUCGUGUCGUGAGAUGUUGGGUUAAGUCCCGCAACGAGCGCAACCCUUAUUGUUAGUUGCCAUCAUUCAGUUGGGCACUCUAGCAAGACUGCCGGUGACAAACCGGAGGAAGGUGGGGAUGACGUCAAAUCAUCAUGCCCCUUAUGACCUGGGCUACACACGUGCUACAAUGGGAAGUACAACGAGUCGCGAAGUCGCGAGGCUAAGCUAAUCUCUUAAAGCUUCUCUCAGUUCGGAUUGCAGGCUGCAACUCGCCUGCAUGAAGCCGGAAUCGCUAGUAAUCGCGGAUCAGCACGCCGCGGUGAAUACGUUCCCGGGCCUUGUACACACCGCCCGUCACACCACGAGAGUUUGUAACACCCGAAGUCGGUGAGGUAACCUUUUGGAGCCAGCCGCCUAAGGUGGGAUAGAUGAUUGGGGUGAAGUCGUAACAAGGUAGCCGUAUCGGAAGGUGCGGCUG